UACUCUGUAUCUAGCCUUUCUUUUUCUUGAAUUAUUUUGGAUCAUUACCAUGUUCUCUGAUAUAGUUUUUUUGCUGCUUCUGAAAGGUUUAUUUGCCUAAUGAUGGAAAACUCAUUUAUGGAGCGGUUCUGUGGAUUGUUAUUAGGAGCCUUUUCUAUCAUUUUCCUAUACUAGUCGCCGUCAUCAUCAACACCACCAUUCUUCUCUCUCUCUCUCUCUCUCUCUCUCUUCUCUCUCUCUUCUCUCUCCCUCUCUGGCUUGUAUGGUUGAAGAUGUGAAGAGGUUCAUAGUGAUAAUCCACAGUUAACUAGCAAUGACCAGAUAUAGCUAUGAGAUCUGAAGGCUCUUCAGUUUUUUGCCUUUUUUUAUUUAAGAUAUGCUUGUUGAAUUUUAAAUUAUUUUUGUUCCCUUAGUUAUUUAUAUAGGUCAUUGCAGCAUUGUAGACAUUAUUUUAGUUUAACUGGAGCACUUUUGGCAUUGCAGUAUUUGAUUACUAUAAAUGUACUGUUACUUUUGUAUUGAUUUCAAAUUUUCUGUUAAUAGAAAACCAAAGAGCACUUUCGGCAUUGCAGUAUUUUUGUAUAUAAUGCGAGCUCCCUUCAGACUCAAACCUGCUUGUACAUUGUUACAUAUAAAGCUAAUAAACUGUCGUUUGGAAAAAAAUUCACUCUUUCAUUGUUACUGAGUGCUUUUAUUUCCUACAAAGCUAUUAUUGUAGAUUGUUUUUGUUGAAAGAUGGUUAUACAUUUUGAUUAACUUUAUCUUCUGGUUCAAAUAUGAUGCCCAGUGAUGGAAAGUUGAAAACCUAAAUAGUGGUAAGGGUGGUUGAUUCUUCAUUAUCCCGUACUAACCACAAGCACCACCUCUCUCUCUCUCUCUCUCUCUCUCUCUCUCUCUCUAAUAUAUAUACAUACAUACAUACACACACAUACGUUGGUGCUGCAUUGUGGAGUAUGAAGGCUUUUGAGGAACGCCAUUGCCCAUGAACUGGAAAUGACUUAUUGCUAUGUGAUCUGAGGGCAUUUUCAUAGAACUCACUAUUUUCAAUUACCUAUUUGGGGAUAUAUCCCUCCUUGCAGUCCAAAUUUUGCGCCGCAAGUUACUUUGACCCCACAUGUGCGUUUGGGCCCCAAAUUUUGUUUCUUUCAUAAUUAUGAUUUUUAUAUGGGCUGAUUGUCUGUUCUGUUCUUGUUUCAAACUGUUGUUUCAUAAAAACCUGUAUUUUUCUUGACUGGGUGAUAGGCCUUUGAUAUUAAGUUGUUUUGAUGAUGGUUUAUUUUCAUUUGUGCUAGAAGUUUAUAAUGGCAUAGUUCUGAGUGGAGUGCUUGUUUAAUUGGCAGUUGGGGUUGGGUUAUAACUGUUAUGUGAUUGUGGGGAAUGAUGGUACCUGCAGUGGUCUCUGGGCAGUUUGGGAUUGCAAUUGUCGAUGGAAAUGCAGCCUAGAAUGCUAUUUAUGAUCCCUGGAGUAAUUCUACUUUGGGGUAUAUUUCAUGUUAUUGUUGUCAUCAUUCAAUUAACUUAUUGUGUCGCAAUGGAAAUUACUGGUCAAGUUAUUUAUGACCCCUGAAUUAGUGAUGUUGUGCUAAUGAGUUAUACUCUGUCUAUAGUCUUUCUUUUUCUUGAAUUAUUUUGGGUCAUUACCAUGUUCUUUGAUAUAGCUUUUUUGCUGCUUCUGAAAGGUGGUUCAGUUUUUAUUUGCCUAAUGAUGGAAAACUCAUUUAUGGAGCGGUUAUGUGGAUUGUUAUUAGGAGCCUUUUCUAUCAUUUUCCUGUACUAGUUGCUGUCACCAUCAACACCACCAUCCUCUCUCUCUCUCUCUCUCUCUCUCUCUCUCUCCCUCUCCCUCUCCCUCUCCCUCCCUCUCCCUCUCCUCUCUCCCUCUUUCCCUCUUUCCCUCUCUCCCUCUCUCCCUCUCCCUCUCUUGCUUGUAUGGUUGAAGAUGUGAAGAGGUUCAUAGUGAUAAUCCACAGUUAACUGGCAAUGACCAGAUAUAGCUAUGAGAUCUGAAGGCUCUUCAGUUUUUUGCCUUUUUUAUUCUUAAGAUAUGCUUGUUGAAUUUUAAAUUAUUUUUGUUCCUUUAGUUAUUUCAAUAGACAUUUCCUUUUCUGGUCAUUGCAGUAUUCUAGACAUUAUCUUUGGUUUAACUGAAUAGCACUUUGGGCAUUGCAGUAUUGUGAUUACCAUAAAUGCACUGUUACUUUUGUAUUGAUUUCAAAUUUUCUGUUAAUAGAAAACCAAAGAGCACUUUCGGAAUUGCAGUAUUUUUGUAUAUAAGGCCAGCUCCCUCUGGAGUCAAACCGCUUGUAGAUUGUUUCAUAUAAAGGUAAUAAACCAUUGUCUGGAAACUAUUGUUGUAGAUUGUUUUAGUUGAAAGAUGGUUAUAGAUUUUUUAUUAACUUUAUCUUCUGGUUCAAAUAUGAUGCUUAUUGAUGGAAAAUUCAAAACGUUAAGAGUGGUAGGCAUGGUAUUGUAGAUUCUUUUGUAUGCUUAUAGAUUUCUUUCUUAGAUUCCUCUUUUAUCCAAGAAAGCAGUUAUUGUAGAUUCUUUUGUAUGCUUAUAGAUUUAGUACGCACAAAUCUGUGUAAUGUUUAUUGUGUUCUAAGUUUACAAAGCCACAUGCUAAAUUACUCUUCUUUUUCUUUCUUUUUUUAAUUCUUGCUUGUACGAUUGAAGAUCUGUUGAGGUUUAUAAUCGAGCUUGUGACCGUGAUGACUAGAUACAUAUUUUCAAGGUGUUUCUGCAGAGACACUCAUUAACAUGGUAUUUGAAUUUAUUGCUAUAGUUGUGUUGUAUUGAUUUAUACAUUCUCAAUAGUUACAUAUUUUACCCAUUUAGUCGUACAGUCCAUUCCUCUCAAAGGUGCCCUUGCAAUGUUAAUUCAACAAAUUUUAUGAGGCCUCGAUCAACUGAAUAUAGUUAUGGUGUCUGUAAUAUGGUUAUCUUUAAGUCUAAGUGUAUAUGUGGCUUUGUUUUUUUUUCGCUUGGUUGGUGCAACAAAUGCAAAACUAUGAAGCAGUGGUUUUUGCAUAUAUGCUGCAGUAUAGGCUUACACCUUUGCCCAAUGAUGCAGACUCCUGUUCUGGGUAUGCUUUUGAUUUUCAUUAUGAGCAUCUCCACCUCCUAUAUUUCUAUCGUCAAUAGUAGCCAUCUGCUCUUUAUGGUGGUGGUGGUGGUGGUGGUGGUGGUGUUGUCGUUGUUGUUGUUGUUGCUGCUGCUGCUGCUGCUGUCUUAUAAGAUGUGGAGAGAUUGUAAAUGAAAAUCAAAGCUCAACAUCCUUAACUAUAAAUUCAGGAUAUGAUAAGGACUGAGGGCUAUCUUUUGUUUACUUUUACUACCCAAGUGGUGUUGUGUAAAUGAUUGUUUUUACCUACCAUGGGAUAGAGGUUUAGGGCCGAAGGGGUAAAGGAAGACCUAGGAAAAUUUUGGAAGAGACUCUAAGAAAAGACUGUACUUGGAUUUAACGGAGGACAUGACACAGAACUGAGCGCAAUGGUAUUCUAGGAUUCAUAUAGCCGACCCCAUCUAGUGGGACAAGACUCUGUUGUUGUAUUAUAUUGCUAAUGUAUUUUUCUCCAUGUGCACCACACAUUUUCAUGAUUCUUGAUACCUUUAUAUGAGUAAAGCUGUUUUCUGGAAUUGGUGCCGUUAUGAGGGAGGAAUUCGUCAAGAACAUGUUAGUUUUAAAGACUGAUGUCCUUUACAAGAUGCUAUACUUGUCUUGAUCAUACAUGGGUGGCUUUUUAAUGAUGCUUUUAGUCACUCUUUGUUAAUAAGCCCAAUGAUGAAAUCUCAUUUUGUGAAGCAGUGCUUCACUUUAAGCCGCCAUUUACUGUGCCACGCUGAUCAUCGCCAUUUGCCGGCUCCUUCUUCUUCUUCUUCUUCUUCUAUUGUUGUUAUUAUUAUUAUUAUUAUUAUUUCUGGUGAUGAUCCGGUGGUGUUCGUAAAUGGUGACUGGCUUUCAGUGAUUACUGUUUAUGAAGUUUUAGUAGUGGUCUGAGGGCUCAAAAUAUCAUUAGGUUUUAUUAUUCAAUGAAAGGCAAAUGAAUCUCCAGUAUAAUUUAAAUGUGUGGUAAUCUGUUUAUUAAUGAUCUGUUGAUGUAAAUAUUAAUAAUUUAGUUUGAAUACAGAUAGGGACAGAGUUUACUCCAAACUAUUUGCUAAUUCUUGCCUUCCUCUUCCGCAUGCAUUACUAAUCUUCUUUUCUGGGUUCAAGUUUCCUUUUGGCCCUUGAAUUGUAUGUUUUGGAUUUCAGGUUAUUUCGGUUCGAUUUCUUUUAAUAGAAUGUGUGAUUACGGGGCUUGAGAGUUUUCUUUUCUGUUGCGGUUGUGGCUGCAUCGUAUGAGUGAUUACCUCUUUCGUUGGGUGGAGACGGCGACUCUGUUUUCAACCUCUGUUUGGUUUUCACAUUGCAAUUGUUUCACUUUAAGCCGCCGUUUAUUGCGCCGGACUGAUCAUCGACAUUUAACUGCGGCUGCUGCUGCUGUUGCUCCUCCUCCUCCUCCUCCUCCUCCUCUUUAUUAUAAAUAAUAUUUCUGGUGAUGAUCUGAUGGUGUCCGUAAAUGUUGCCUGGCCUUUAGUGAUCACUGUUUAUGAAAAUUUUGUUGUUGAUGAGGUCUGAGGGCUCAAAACUUAAUUCGUCUUGGUGUCUGGUGUCUCUUGAUAUGUAUUGGUGUUUUGCAUUGCAAAUUUGCAAUCCAAGUGUAAUUUGAUGCAUCCCGCAUGCUGCUUGAUGGUUUAUGAUCUUUGGUUGUAAUUGUUGUAGUGAAAUGAAAUGAAAUGAAAGCGUGUCCAUAUCAUGCCUUUUGGUUUGAUUUUUCUUUU